rnacentral:lncRNA from 1 species
UAGGUGCUGUUAAUCGCUUGUGGUGGAGUUUUUUGUAUUGGUGAGGUAGGAACAGGUUUUGGAACGAGGAGGUAAAUGAGUGAAGUUUUGUUAGGGCAAAUUGCAAAUAGUUUGCUAGCACGGAUGCCGUGGCAAUGUCGGGAAGACCAAGUCAACAUUUUUCUCGUAACAGUCCCAGUUCAAAUUCAAACUUGUACCUAAUAAAUCCCUCUAAAAGAGGAUAAGAGAAUCACAAGCAGUUAGCCGAAUGUAGCCUAAUCUAUCUAUAGAAACCGAUGAAAGGGACCUCAAGGGAUAGAAAGUCGAAUGUAGUCCUUCUUAGCC